UACGGGGGGAGCAAGCGUUGUUCGGAUUUACUGGGCGUAAAGGGCGCGUAGGCGGCCUCCGCAAGUCAAUUGUGAAAUCUCCGAGCUUAACUCGGAAAGGUCAACUGAUACUGCGGGGCUAGAGUGCGGAAGGGGCAACUGGAAUUCUUGGUGUAGCGGUGAAAUGCGUAGAUAUCAAGAGGAACACCUGCGGCGAAGGCGGGUUGCUGGGCCGACACUGACGCUGAGGCGCGAAAGCUAGGGGAGCGAACGGG
rnacentral:rRNA from 1 species